rnacentral:misc_RNA from 1 species
AAGUCAUAACAAGGUUUCCGUAGGUGAACCUGCGGAAGGAUCAUUAUCCUUUAGCUUGUGCGAAUGUUCUAAUACAUUUGUACUCGAGCUCAUAACGCUCUUAUUGCGCGGCAGCCGCUCUCCGGCGACUGCUAAACAACAAAUCCACGGUAGGCUCGUUGCUACUGUGGUCAGGUACCUAUUUGCUGAAGCGGCUCUUCGGAGCCGUGUUGGCGUAAAGAUUACUCCACCUAGUGGCGUAACGCCUGUUUAGCUUACAAGUUUUCUCACCAUUUAAAUUACAUUUUAGAGUUGUGAUGUGUAAAUUCUAUGCUCAACAUAGAUGAUUUAACACAAAAACAACCCUAUGCGGUGGAUCACUUGGCUC